GUGAACUCUCGUUGGACAUAACAAGCAAUUUGAAGGUUUUGUCUUGGCCAUCGAUAAUGAGUUGCGAUUGAGACCUGAAGUAUUUCACUUGUCAGGUCAAAAAUCAUAACAUGUGGCCAAAUCAAGGUCCUCCCCCUCCAGUGGGCCCACCAAACCCUGCCUAUCCUCCUGGCCACAACCCUGCAUAUCCUGUUGCACCUACAUCAGGAUUCUUCCCACCACCUGGGCAAUAUCCAGCUGGGCAAUAUCCAGCCGGGCAAUAUCCAGCCGGGCAAUAUCCAGCCGGGCAAUAUCCAGCCAUGGUACCACAAGUACCCCCAGGGGGCAUGCCUUAUAGUGCUCAGGGACCCAAUCCUUAUCCUAUGGCUCCGGGUGGAUAUCCACUUGUUCCUCCUGCAGGGGCUCACCCAGGUCCUUACCCGCACUCUCCAAAAGGAGGUCACCAUAAAGGCCAUAAAGGCCACAAAGAUCAUCAUCAUGGAGGGUUAAAUCCCAUGGCCGGAGCAUGCGCCGGAGGAGUGGCUGGAAUGGGAAUGGGAAUGGGGUUGGCCGGACAUAAAGGCCACAAAAAGAUGAAAAAGGUGAAGAAGAUGAAGAAGGCGCAUAAGGGGCAGAAACACGGCAAGUCGUCCAGCAGCAGUAGCAGCAGCAGCAGCAGCAGUGACUAAGACCGAGGCCACAAGGCUUUUUCAGAAGCAAGAGUGCAACCUUUAUAUUAAAAAUAACCACACUAAAGUCAUACUUGUCACUUUAAACAUGAAGUGUACAAUUAAAGCAUUUAAAUAAAAUAAAGAUAGAAAUAAAGUGUUUUAGCAUUUCUCAUUAGAAAUGCAUGCAUGAGCUGUUAACGAUCUCACAGUAUUUGCUGUGUUUACACUCCACCGUGGUGUUUGUGGUGUUUUCAAGUUCCAUUACGAGUACAUUAGUACACAAACAUAUUGACAUUAGUUUGACAUGGGCUGCAGAAUUGAUUUAUGAGAAUAUCUAACAAUGUGAUUUAUUCAAAGAAAAUGUUUUUUUUAUUUUUUAUGAUUGACCUUGAGAUGGAGAUUCAUACGGAUAUUGAGUGUCUUUAUUUUUGUUCACUGCUACACAGCUCAUCACUGCUCACAUCAGUACUACACAUAACUGCAGAAUGCAUUAUUCUACAAGGCUUUGUUUCAGCAUUAAUUGUUAAUAUAAAUAAAGAGUCUUCAAUUAAA
ensembl:lncRNA